rnacentral:rRNA from 1 species
AGCGAACGCUGGCGGCAGGCUUAACACAUGCAAGUCGAGCGGGCGUAGCAAUACGUCAGCGGCAGACGGGUGAGUAACGCGUGGGAACAUACCUCUUGGUUCGGAACAACACAGGGAAACUUGUGCUAAUACCGGAUAAGCCCUUUACGGGGAAAGAUUUAUCGCCGAGAGAUUGGCCCGCGUCUGAUUAGCUAGUUGGUGAGGUAACGGCUCACCAAGGCGACGAUCAGAGCUGGUCUGAGAGGAUGAUCAGCCACAUUGGGACUGAGACACGGCCCAAACU